rnacentral:rRNA from 1 species
GAUGAACGCUGACAGAAUGCUUAACACAUGCAAGUCUACUUGAAGUAACUUCGGUUAUGGAUGGUGGCGGACGGGUGAGUAACGCGUAAAUAACUUGCCCCCUAGUCUGGGACAACUGUUGGAAACGACAGCUAAUACUAGAUAUUAUGAGACCUUGGCAUCAAGGACUUAUGAAAGCUAUAUGCGCUAGGGGAGAGAUUUGCGUCCUAUUAGCUAGUUGGUGAGGUAAUGGCUCACCAAGGCGACGAUAGGUAGCCGGCCUGAGAGGGUGAACGGCCACAAGGGGACUGAGACACGGCCCUUACUCCUACGGGAGGCAGCAGUGGGGAAUAUUGGACAAUGGACCAAAAGUCUGAUCCAGCAAUUCUGUGUGCUUGAUGAAGGCCUCGGUGUAAGAG